UACGUAGGGGGCAAGCGUUGUCCGGAAUCAUUGGGCGUAAAGAGCGUGUAGGCGGCCCGAUAAGUCCGCCGUGAAAGUCCAGGGCUCAACCCUGGAAUGCCGGUGGAAACUGUCGGGCUGGAGUCCGGAAGAGGCGAGUGGAAUUCCUGGUGUAGCGGUGAAAUGCGCAGAUAUCAGGAGGAACACCAAUGGCGAAGGCAGCUCGCUGGGACGGUACUGACGCUGGAGACGCGAAAGCGUGGGGAGCGAACAGG
rnacentral:rRNA from 1 species